CCUACGGGGGGCAGCAGUCGAGAAUCAUUCACAAUGGGGGAAACCCUGAUGGUGCGACGCCGCGUGGGGGAAUGAAGGUCUUCGGAUUGUAAACCCCUGUCAUGUGGGAGCAAAUUAAAAAGAUAGUACCACAAGAGGAAGAGACGGCUAACUCUGUGCCAGCAGCCGCGGUAAUACAGAGGUCUCAAGCGUUGUUCGGAAUCACUGGGCGUAAAGCGUGCGUAGGCUGUUUCGUAAGUCGUGUGUGAAAGGUGCGGGCUCAACCCGCGGACGGCACAUGAUACUGCGAGACUAGAGUAAUGGAGGGGGAACCGGAAUUCUUGGUGUAGCAGUGAAAUGCGUAGAUAUCGAGAGGAACACUCGUGGCGAAGGCGGGUUCCUGGACAUUAACUGACGCUGAGGCACGAAGGCCAGGGGAGCGAAAGGGAUUAGAUACCCGAGUAGUC
rnacentral:rRNA from 1 species